UCUGGGUUUUUUCAGAGCCCUGGUCUACUCUGGGGAGGGAUCAAUCUAAGAUACGCAACUUCAGCUACGUGAAUAACAUAGCGGAAGUAGACAUACUUAG